rnacentral:snRNA from 1 species
CGGUUUCGAAAAGACCUUAUC